GAUGAACGCCGGCGGCAUGCCUAAUACAUGCAAGUCGAACGAGAGAACCAAGAAGCUUGCUUCAUGGGGAUCUAGUGGCAAAUGGGUGAGUAACACGUGAGUAAUCUGCCCUUAAGACAGGGAUAACUACUGGAAACAGUUUGUAAUACCUGAUAAUUACUCUGGAGGCAUCUCUGGAAGUAAAAAGUUUAGAUACGCUUAAGGAUGAGCUCGCGGUGCAUUAGUUAGUUGGUAAGGUAACGGCUUACCAAGACAAUGAUGCAUAGCCGGCCUGAGAGGGUGUACGGCCACACUGGGACUGAGACACGGCCCAGACUCCUACGGGAGGCAGCAGUAGGGAAUUAUCGGCAAUGGAGGAAACUCUGACCGUGCGAUGCCGCGUGAACGAUGAAGGCCUUCGGUUGUAAAGUUCUGUUAUAGAGGAAGAACAGCCUAGAUAGAAUCUAGGUUUG
rnacentral:rRNA from 1 species